rnacentral:rRNA from 1 species
UACGGCGGGGGCUAGCGUUGUUCGGAAUUACUGGGCGGAAAGCGUACGUAGGCGGCUUUGUAAGUUAGAGGUGAAAGCCCGGGGCUCAACUCCGGAAUUGCCUUUAAGACUGCAUCGCUUGAAUCAUGGAGAGGUUAGUGGAAUUCCGAGUGUAGAGGUGAAAUUCGUAGAUAUUCGGAAGAACACCAGUGGCGAAGGCGACUCGCUGGACAAGUAUUGACGCUGAGGUGCGAAAGCGUGGGGAGCAAACAGG